CUAGCUCCAGGCUUAACACACGCAAGUCGAGGGGCAGCACGGUCUUAGCUUCGCUAAGGCCGAAGGCGACCGGCGCACGGGUGAGUAACACGUAUCCAACCUGCCGUCUACUCUUGGACAGCCUUCUGAAAGGAAGAUUAAUACAAGAUGGCAUCAUGAGUCCGCAUGUUCACAUGAUUAAAGGUAUUCCGGUAGACGAUGGGGAUGCGUUCCAUUAGAUAGUAGGCGGGGUAACGGCCCACCUAGUCUUCGAUGGAUAGGGGUUCUGAGAGGAAGGUCCCCCACAUUGGAACUGAGACACGGUCCAAACUCCUACGGGAGGCAGCAGUGAGGAAUAUUGGUCAAUGGGCGAGAGCCUGAACCAGCCAAGUAGCGUGAAGGAUGACUGCCCUAUGGGUUGUAAACUUCUUUUAUAAAGGAAUAAAGUCGGGUAUGGAUACCCGUUUGCAUGUACUUUAUGAACAAGGAUCGGCUAACUCCGUGCCAGCAGCCGCGGUAAUACGGAGGAUCCGAGCGUUAUCCGGAUUUAUUGGGUUUAAAGGGAGCGUAGAUGGAUGUUUAAGUCAGUUGUGAAAGUUUGCGGCUCAACCGUAAAAUUGCAGUUGAUACUGGAUAUCUUGAGUGCAGUUGAGGCAGGCGGAAUUCGUGGUGUAGCGGUGAAAUGCUUAGAUAUCACGAAGAACUCCGAUUGCGAAGGCAGCCUGCUAAGCUGCAACUGACAUUGAGGCUCGAAAGUGUGGGUAUCAAACAGGAUUAGAUACCCUGGUAGUCCACACGGUAAACGAUGAAUACUCGCUGUUUGCGAUAUACUGCAAGCGGCCAAGCGAAAGCGUUAAGUAUUCCACCUGGGGAGUACGCCGGCAACGGUGAAACUCAAAGGAAUUGACGGGGGCCCGCACAAGCGGAGGAACAUGUGGUUUAAUUCGAUGAUACGCGGGGAACCUUACCCGGGCUUAAAUUGCAGAUGAAUUACGGUGAAAGCCGUAAGCCGCAAGGCAUCUGUGAAGGUGCUGCAUGGUUGUCGUCAGCUCGUGCCGUGAGGUGUCGGCUUAAGUGCCAUAACGAGCGCAACCCUUGUUGUCAGUUACUAACAGGUUCCGCUGAGGACUCUGACAAGACUGCCAUCGUAAGAUGUGAGGAAGGUGGGGAUGACGUCAAAUCAGCACGGCCCUUACGUCCGGGGCUACACACGUGUUACAAUGGGGGGUACAGAGGGCCGCUACCACGCGAGUGGAUGCCAAUCCCCAAAACCUCUCUCAGUUCGGACUGGAGUCUGCAACCCGACUCCACGAAGCUGGAUUCGCUAGUAAUCGCGCAUUCAGCCACGGCGCGGUGAAUACGUUUCCCGGGCCU
rnacentral:rRNA from 1 species